CGUCCCGUCCCGUCUUCCCCCCCCCACCGGGCCGCGCUCAUGGUACAGUCCGCCGGGCGUCGACUGAGUAUGGCGACGAGGAAGACUGACGCAGGGGCGGCCGCGUGGCCUAAUGGAUAAGGCGUCUGACUUCGGAUCAGAAGAUUGCAGGCAGAGGUAUCUCAGCCGCCCGUCCGGGAGCCAAGAAACGGGAGAAACGGGCAAUUUUUAUAGGUGACGUACGGGCUUACGUGGGAAUCCAUGCCCAGCACCGCUCUUCCAGCUUUUUUUUUUUUCUUCUGAAAUAACCCUUCCCUGCAGCUCGUAACCCCCUUUUCCCGCUUGCACCCCCUUUUCCAAGCUGGGGCUGUGGGAGACGAAGAAGGAAAAGGGAAAAGAAAAGCAGCUCCCAAUAUCCCGCUAUUUUUCCUGCUCGAGAGACGAGCCCUGGAGCUCCCGAAGUGAGCGAUGGAGAGGGCGAGGGAAGGCGGGCGGGCGCCGGCUCCGAAGUGGAGGGGUCGGAGGUGGGAUGGAGAUGGGGGGAGACAUGGGGGGAUCCUCCUUUUCGGGAUUAAGGGAGAACCGGCGAGGGAGGGAGGCUGGCGGCACCGCGGGCAUUCGAGGUAAGUCCCCCGCCGGUGGUACCGGAGCCCAGGCGCUGCUGGCACGGGCGGUGCCGGCGCUGCGGGAUAGGGAGGAUGCUUUUGGAGGAGCAAAGGAGCCCUGUCCGUGGGGGUACCAGGCCCAGAGCCGGGUCCUGCGGGCAGUGAGGGGCCGGGGCUGCUUUGGCGGCUGCGGCUCCGGCUGAGAUCGGCGCCGGUUAUCGCGGGCUGGGGGCUGCAGGCAGCCCUGCCCGCGCCCUCGGGGCUUGGCCGGGGUCCCCCUGGGGCGAGCGGCCCACGGAGCCCGGUCCCGGCCCCCGGGGCUCCUCCCGUGCGUGUCUCAAUUCUCUCAGGCUUGACUUGGCAAUAAGCUCUCUCAAUAGGGUGACAAUAGAGCCCCGGUGGGACCCGAACAAAGAAUUUGAAAGUAGUUAAAUUGCAGGACACGUCCAGGCUGGGUGCUUGAAUUAAAGAAAAAAAGAGAAAAAAAAAAAAAA